ACCACAACAACCGGAACAACAGCCAUAAAUACAACCAACGUAACAAUCACAACAACUGAAACACCAGCCAUAUAUACAACCAACGUAACAAACACAACAACCGAAACAACAGCCAUAAAUACAACCAACGUAACAACUGAAACACCAGCCAUAAAUACAACCAACGUAACAACCGAAACGCCAGCCAUAAAUACAACCAAUGUAACAACCACAACAACCGAAACACCAGCCAUAAAUACAACCAACGUAACAACCGAAACACCAGCCAUAAAUACAACCAACGUAACAACCGAAACACCAGCCAUAAAUACAACCAACGUAACAACCGAAACACCAGCAAUAAAUACAACCUACGUAACAACCACAACAACCGAGACACCAGCCAUAAAUACAACCAACGUAACAACCACAACAAUUGAAACACCAGCAAUAAAUACAACCAACGUAACAACCACAACAACCGAGACACCAGCCAUAAAUACAACCAACGUAACAACCACAACAAUUGAAACACCUGCAAUAAAUACAACCAACGUAACAACCACAACAACUGAAACACCAGCCAUAAAUACAACCAGCAUAACAACCACAACAAUUGAAACACCAGCAAUAAAUACAACCAACGUAACAACCACAACAACCGAGACACCAGCCAUAAAUACAACCAACGUAACAACCACAACAAUUGAAACACCUGCAAUAAAUACAACCAACGUAACAACCACAACAACUGAAACACCAGCCAUAAAUACAACCAGCAUAACAACCACAACAAUUGAAACACCAGCAAUAAAUACAACCAACGUAACAACCACAACAACCGAGACACCAGCCAUAAAUACAACCAACGUAACAACCACAACAAUUGAAACACCUGCAAUAAAUACAGCCAACGUAACAACCACAACAACUGAAACACCAGCCAUAAAUACAACCAGCGUAACAACCACAACAAUUGAAACACCAGCAAUAAAUACAACCAACGUAACAACCACAACAACCGGAACACCAGCCAUAAAUACAACCAACGUAACAACCACAACAACCAAAACAACAGCCAUACGUACAACCAACAAAACAACAGGAACAACACCACCUACUACUACAAUGACAACACCUACUACAACAAUAACAAAACCUACUACUAUAAGGACACCUACUACUACAACUACUAGAACUACUUCUGCUACACAAAUAGUGUUAUUGGUGGAGGUUCUCAGAUUCACUCUUGAUAUGACGUUCACCACAGACCUUGAAAAUUCUUUAUCAGCUGCUUUCCAAACUCUUGCUACAUGGAUUGAAGAUCUGCUUGAUGUAAUAUAUAAAAAACAAUACAACCGCUAUAGCCACUGCAGAGUCAACAGCUUCGCGAGAGGAUCUGUGAAAGUAAAUGCAACGUUGUUCUUUGCUGACACGAUACCUAACAAUGCAGAUAUAGAAAUGACGCUGGUUUCAGCCUGGGAAAGUAACUCUACCGGCUUACCUCUAGUAAAUGGCACUGUUGUCGCUGGACAAGCUGGCCUAUCUAGCAGCUCUCCAAGUGCAGCCUUCUUUUCUACAGUAACGCUUCUUCUAACAUGUGUACUUUUACUAUCACAAACCCUUUUAUUAAUAUAGUCCACUCUGUGUUUAUAUCUCCACUGAUGACCGAAAGACAGAUCAAGAUAACAAAUAAUUCUAAAGGAUCUUUAGACUAUUUUUUGAUCUGUUCAGAAAAUUUAUAUGUAGAUUUGUGGGCAUGUUGUAGCCUAGUGAUUAAGGUGUUGGGCUACCAAUUGGAAGGUUGUGAGUUCGAUCUGUCAAGUUUCAAACUUACUGUGUAAAUUCCUAAUUAUUACCCGGUAGAUUUCAGGGAAUGCUCUUAAAUCUGGGUUUUUUUUAUUUAUACUUUUUACUGAAUAAAGUCUAUUUACUGAGUGUAGACUUUUUAAUGUUUUUUAUGUGUCUAACUUACCUGCCACCUUGUUUUCAUAAGACAGCAAUUGUCUCACCUCUUGUCUCAUAUUACUGAGUUAUACAGUAUGUAAUAAUGUUUAGGUGGUUGUGGCCAGGUUGGUGUACUAAUGAAUUUGCAAGUAAACACUCUUGAAUGUUGUAUCCAGAAGCACCAUACAGUAGUUACUCUUGGGCCGUGUACUUAAUUAAGUAGAAUGAUAAAUGAGCGCCUAUCAGUCUAUCCUAAAGUCUGUGCUUUGUCAUGGAUGGCUUGUAUUAUUCCUUGCCUGAACACCAGGGGAUGUUCUGGAGAGCUUCAUUUACAUCUUGUGUCACGUGUCUUUGUAUUUGUUUGUCCACGUGUGUUUGUCCUGCAAGGUCCUUAAUCCAUUCCAGCCUCUGCUCACCUGUUCCUUGUGUUCCACUGAAUGUUCCCCCUAUUUAUACCAGUUGUCUUGCGUGGUGUUUGCUGAGUCCUUGAUUUUUCAUGUGUUGUAGUGGCUCCUGAGUUCUGUUUGUUAAUUCUAACUUAUUUCACUACUUUCUUCGCCAACUUAUGCACUAGAUCCCUUACAUAUAUCUUUCUUUAAGCAGAUAAUAACAAAAGCAAUUUCUGUAAUAAUCAGUUCUUCCCUGAUCAACUGCCACUUUAGUAGGUUUAUUGCUGUAGUUUGCAUUUUUGUUUUAUUCAUGUACGUAUUUCAAACUAAACACAGGCUGAUGUACAUCAGAGUCCUAUAAUAAAGUCUUAUAUAACCUCCCACACUCCACUAUAAUAAACCUAUUCAUGAAAAAAGCAUCUUAAACAUUAAAAAAAUUACCUUUAUAUAUGAAUGAAUUAAAUAAUACAUGAGUUAGUCUCUGUUACUCCACUAGAGGACAGAAUAGUGCAAUGAAUUCAGGACCUAGAUCUUGGCUACUGAUCUAAUUUUACAGAAACAAGAGUGCUUUUUAUAAUAGAAUUUUUAUAAUAAUAAGGACUCUUUUAAUCUAUAAAAAAAUUCAUCUGAAACUGUAUACAUUAUUUGCUUAAUUUCAUUAUUAUAGGUUAGUUUGUACAAAUUCAUGAGUUAUAAUAGAAAAUGUGUAAAAGUUCAAACUGUGUGUAUGUGCUUGUGUGUGUGUGUGUGUGUGUGUGUGUGUGUGUGUGUGUGUGUGUGUGUGUGUGUGUGUGUGUGUGUGUGUUUUCACCACCCUGAGUGUAAACUGGUUUCUGAAGAUGAAUUAAGGAAUUAAAAAAAGUUUUUAACAAUUUUCAGCACAAGAAUAAUAAUGUUAUAAAUCGUAUUUACUACACUGUGAAAUCAACUAUGAAGUCAAUGAAUGUACAUGUAUAUUUUAUUAUGCGCUGUUUCAAUGAUUUGAAUAAAGAAUAUAGUCACA